rnacentral:rRNA from 1 species
GGGAUUAUUGGGCGUAAGAGAAUGUAGGCGGUUUAUUAAGUUUGAAGUGAAAGCCCUCGGCUCAACCGAGGAAGUGCUUCGAAAACUGGUAAACUUGAGUGCAGAAGAGGAAAGUGGAACUCCAUGUGUAGCGGUGGAAUGCGUAGAUAUAUGGAAGAACACCAGUGGCGAAGGCGGCUUUCUGGUCUGUAACUGACGCUGAGAUUCGAAAGCAUGGGUAGCAAACAGGAUUAGAUACCCUGGUAGUCCAUGCCGUAAACGAUGAGUGCUAAGUGUUGGAGGGUUUCCGCCCUUCAGUGCUGCAGCUAACGCAUUAAGCACUCCGCCUGGGGAGUACGAUCGCAAGAUUGAAACUCAAAGGAAUUGACGGGGGCCCGCACAAGCGGUGGAGCAUGUGGUUUAAUUCGAAGCAACGCGAAGAACCUUACCAGGUCUUGACAUCCUUUGACCACUGUAGAGAUACAGCUUUCCCUUCGGGGACAAAGUGACAGGUGGUGCAUGGUUGUCGUCAGCUCGUGUCGUGAGAUGUUGGGUUAAGUCCCGCAACGAGCGCAACCCUUAUGACUAGUUGCCAGCAUUUAGUUGGGCACUCUAGUAAGACUGCCGGUGACAAACCGGAGGAAGGUGGGGAUGACGUCAAAUCAGCAUGCCCCUUAUGACCUGGGCUACACACGUGCUACAAUGGUCGGUACAACGAGUUGCGAACCCGCGAGGGUAAGCUAAUCUCUUAAAGCCGAUCUCAGUUCGGAUUGUAGGCUGCAACUCGCCUACAUGAAGCCGGAAUCGCUAGUAAUCGCGGAUCAGCACGCCGCGGUGAAUACGUUCCCGGGCC